AUGUCUCCAGCCCUGGGGCCUGGCUCCAGCAGGGGCCACUGUGGGACUCCCAUGUGUCAGUCAUGGUGGGUGGUCACAGUAGGGCAGUCACAGGACCACCAGGGGGUGAGCUCUCAGACUGUGGUGACCCAGGAGUCUUCUCUGACUGUGAUCCCAGGAGGAACCAUCACCAUGACCGGCAGCUCCAGCACAGGGGCUGUCAUCACUGGGCACUAUCCAGUCUGGUUGCAGCAGAAACCUAGUCAGCCUCCCAGACAACUUCUCUAUAAUGCCAACAAUCUCGCAUCAGGUGUCCCUGCCUGGUUCUCAGGGUCCCUCCUUGGGGACAAAGCUGCCCUCACCAUCGCGGGGGCCCAGGCUGAGGAUGAGGCUGAUUAUUACCGUGUCUUGUAUUACAGUGGUCCAUGACACAGUGAUUGACUCAGAUGAGCAACUGAGACCAAAAUCUCAGACCAGGCUGUAUCCGCCUGCAGAGAUUACUGGAGACCCCUGAGACCCUCAGCUUCUGGCAUGACAGAGGAUAUCUCUAAAGUCUCCCUGAGAUCCUUCUUCCUCAACCCCAAGUAUUCCUAAGCCAGGAAUCAGAUUUGGUCCCCACACAUAGUGUCCCAGGAGGCACCAGAUCUCUUACUUUCCAAGUCUUUCUGCAGUUUUCCAUCCUC